rnacentral:rRNA from 1 species
AGAGUUUGAUCCUGGCUCAGGAUGAACGCUAGCGGCAGGCUUAACACAUGCAAGUCGAGGGGCAGCGGGGAGGAAGCUUGCUUUCUCCGCCGGCGACCGGCGCACGGGUGAGUAACACGUAUGCAACCUGCCCCUGUCAGGGGGACAACCCGCCGAAAGGCGGGCUAAACCCGCGUACAUGCCACCGGGGCAUCCCGGAGGCAGGAAAGGCUUCGGCCGGACAGGGAUGGGCAUGCGGCGCAUUAGGCAGUAGGCGGGGUAACGGCCCACCUAACCGACGAUGCGUAGGGGUUCUGAGAGGAAGGUCCCCCACACUGGUACUGAGACACGGACCAGACUCCUACGGGAGGCAGCAGUGAGGAAUAUUGGUCAAUGGUCGGGAGACUGAACCAGCCAAGCCGCGUGAGGGAGAAAGGUACAGAGUAUCGUAAACCUCUUUUGUCAGGGAACAAAGACUGGGACGCGUCCUCGGAUGAGUGUACCUGAAGAAAAAGCAUCGGCUAACUCCGUGCCAGCAGCCGCGGUAAUACGGAGGAUGCGAGCGUUAUCCGGAUUUAUUGGGUUUAAAGGGUGCGCAGGCGGUCUGUUAAGUCAGCGGUCAAAGCCCGGGGCUCAACCCCGGCCCGCCGUUGAAACUGGCAGUCUCGAGUUGGAGAGAAGUAUGCGGAAUGCGCGGUGUAGCGGUGAAAUGCAUAGAUAUCGCGCAGAACUCCGAUUGCGAAGGCAGCAUGCCGGCUCCACACUGACGCUGAGGCACGAAAGCGUGGGUAUCGAACAGGAUUAGAUACCCUGGUAGUCCACGCAGUAAACGAUGAAUGCUGGCUGUCCGGGGGGACUGACCCCUGGGUGGCGAAGCGAAAGCGAUAAGCAUUCCACCUGGGGAGUACGCCGGCAACGGUGAAACUCAAAGGAAUUGACGGGGGCCCGCACAAGCGGAGGAACAUGUGGUUUAAUUCGAUGAUACGCGAGGAACCUUACCCGGGCUCAAACGGGGAGUGGCGCAGGCAGAGACGCCUGUUUCCCACGGGACACUCCCCGAGGUGCUGCAUGGUUGUCGUCAGCUCGUGCCGUGAGGUGUCGGCUUAAGUGCCAUAACGAGCGCAACCCCCGCGUGCAGUUGCUAACAGUCAACGCUGAGGACUCUGCACGGACUGCCGGCGCAAGCCGCGAGGAAGGCGGGGAUGACGUCAAAUCAGCACGGCCCUUACGUCCGGGGCGACACACGUGUUACAAUGGGUGGUACAGCGGGAAGCCAGGCGGCGACGCCGAGCGGAACCCGAAAUCCACUCUCAGUUCGGAUCGGAGUCUGCAACCCGACUCCGUGAAGCUGGAUUCGCUAGUAAUCGCGCAUCAGCCAUGGCGCGGUGAAUACGUUCCCGGGCCUUGCACUCACCGCCCGUCA